CUCACCUUCGGCCCCAUCAGCUCCUGGAGAGAGAGAAAGAGGGAGGGACUUACCCGUCCCCGACCGGAAUAAUCCAAGACAGAGCAGAAUGACCACAGCUUCCAGCUGCCCAGGCCCCAGGCCCGUGCUCUGGGCCAUGGCCCAGGACGAGGGCCCCCGGGGGAGACACACAAGGCACACAAGGCACACAAGGCAAAGGACCCUAGGGCUGGUUUCGAAGGAAGGAUCCAGGUAUGCCGGCUCCGAGGAAAGGGAUCCCAAAAUCUGGCUGGGAAGGGGAAGCAGCUGUCUAAGCCUGGCUUCUAAGGCAGGGAGCGGCCACGGGGAGACGCCUGAAGUCUCUGAAGCUGGCAGUGUGAACGUGCCUCCGGUCUGGCACGUCCUGGCCCGGUACAGACCUUCCUGGAGUGGCGGCUCCCAGAGUGAAAAGGCAUCUACCUGCUGGCCCCUCCCCCAGCCCCGCCCUCUUGCUCGGCUCCGUCCCUGCCACCAGAGUCCUGAGUCCUUUUGGACCCCAGGCCGGUGUUGGGUUGGGUGGAGUGGUUGGCCAGCCAGAGAGCAGUCGGAGGCUAGACUGGAAAAUCUGAUGGCCAGCCUCCCUGGAUUGAAUUGCGCUGCACAAGAAUGGGGGUUCUGGUGCGAGCGAACAGCAGCUUGACCAAGGCAGGCAUCCUGGAGGGGUCCUCGUGGAGGCGCCGGAAGAACUGAGACCCACAGGGGUUACAAAAGCCUCUUGCCUAGGAAAUGAGUGCGUGAGACCCACCUGAGGACACAGUGAGUGGCUGCCAGGACCCAGCCUGGUGCCACAAGGAUCCCAGUGCAGACUCGAUCACCAGCCACAUGCACCUCUGCCAGCCAGGGCCACAGGACCCCCACGGGAGCGGCCUCUGGCCGCAGGCCACAGGCUAGGGAGACGAGGGGGCCACCUCAGUUGGGGUCCCACAGCUGACCCCUGAAGCCCUUGCCAUGGAUCUAUAUACCCCCAAGAGCCCCUAAGCCCUAAAGGCGCCCUGCUCACCUCCAUGCUCUGUGUGUGGGGGACAAGUCUGUGCCUCAGUCUCCUCCCCUUCGAGGCCCCAGUCCCAGGCUAGCUGGUCCUCCAGGUAGGCUCCCCGAGUCACAUGGCUGAUCCAUGGGCCGUGGGUCUGCAGGGGGAAGAACGCUCGGGGACGUAGACAGUCACUGGAGAAGUCUCUGAUUCCAGCCAGGAACCAGGUCCCUUCUUCCCGGCACAGAAGGCUCCAACGCGAGUCAUUCUGCGGCAAAAAAGUGUGUGUGUGUGUGUGUGUGUGUGUGUGUGUGUGUGUGUGAGAGAGAGAGAGAGAGAGAGAGAGAGAGAGAGAGAGAGAGAGAGAGAGAGAGAUACUGAUUUGUGUAAGAAUUCAGCCCACACUUUAGGAUUAAAUCUAGGGAUGGAGAGAAACCCCGCAACCCGCCCCCAGCCCCGCCUCACCCCUACCCCCAAAAAGUCCUCCCGGGCCAGGCUCCGCCCCCAGCUCCUCCUGGCCCCGCCUCCACCCGUCCCGCGCCCAGAGCGCCCCGCCUCGCCCUGUUCCUCGGGCCCGCCCCCAGCUCCCUCCGCCUUCCCCGGGUCCUACUCAGCCCCGCCUUCCGCACGCUCCGCCCCUUCCGCUCACCCAGCAGCGGCCCGCCUCCUCCUCCUCCUGGUAGGCGGGGCAGAGCGCGAGCGGCGGGUCUCCCGGCAGCGGCACUGGCGUCCCCUGGCGGCCAUACAGGCAGUGACACCACCAGCCGCCCAACAGCUCCGCCUCCAGCAGCGCGCUGGGGCCAGGCGCGGGUUCUUGGAGGGGAAAGGGCGGAGGCCCGCGCUGCGGCCGAGGCGGUCCCCGCUGCGCCCAGCGCCACCCACGGCCCGGCGCCCCGCUCACCCCCGCGGCCCCAGCGAGCCAGGCGGCAGCGGCUCCCGGGCAGGAAGUAGUGUUCCGGAUGCGGUAGGCACACGGGCCGCGAGGCCGCGCUCAAGUUCACAGGCGCGCGCAGCUGCAGUAGAGCCAGGUCCGAAGCGUCGUCCCGCGAGGCGUUCUCAUGCGGUACGAGGCGCGCCACCCGCUCCGCGCGCGGGCGCGAGGGCAGCCUCACGCGCCAGGCCUCGAGGUCGCGGGGCGGGCGGCCGGAGCUGAGAAGGCUGCCAAACGGGGAGGCGGGGGACGUGGGCCAGAUCCCGCACACGCGGCUGGAAAGCUCGCACCCUGGCGUAGCCUCUGUCUCCAGGCUGAGAUCCUGCCUCCGCGGCCGGCUCCCCACCCCACCGCCGUUCGAGCAGUGCACUUAGACCCCUGCAUGCUGGAUCGAACUUACACUACCCUCUCCCGCCCCUGCCGGACUUGGACCCCUCUUUUUGUACUGGAUCCUACAUCUCCGAAUGGGAGCCUGCAUUCCAGACUGAGGGAGCUACAGCAGUGAAGACUCCAGGGCGGUUCCUCCGUCCACAGCCAAAGCCAAAGCUGGUGAUCCCUGCCUGGAACCAGCGGCCGCCUUCCUCGCAGACCAGGGGCCCCCCGGAGUCACCCUAAUGAUAAUGACUUCAUGUUAAGAGGUCAUCCCAGGGACCCACCAGCCUACACUGGCUUCCUCGAAAAGGCCCUACACCUCCUUUUGGCCCCACAUGCAGCCACCUUCUGCUAGAAACCUCCCUUGGCUGUGCCUUGUCCUCUGUGUUCCCUGCAACUCUGAACAGGAGAAAGCCUUGUGAAGCAGAAGGGCGGGAGCAGCCACAGCCAGGAGCAGCAGCUCAUGCAUUAAAGGCCAUGCGAGAGAACCCUGCAGGUGUCAUUCACAGCCAAAUGGCUCUUGUUCAAUAAAUAGUUCAAAUAAACCCUGUCUUUGAUUUCUAA